UAGACCUCGGUGCCGUAAAAGUAGUAGACUCUCUCCAUAAAUCACAACCACCAUUGUCAUGCUGUCACACUCCUCCUUUGUCCGUCGACUUCGACUCUUUUUUGUCGAGGUAUCGACUCUAGAAAGGAACCCCCAAAGAACCCAGAAGAUCGAGCCCUAACUCCAUCUCAUUCUAUUAGAACUCCCAUUUUCCUUAAUGGCAGCAACAAGAUCUCUAUUUGGAAAGGUUCUAUUUUGUUUUGGUGUUGGGAUCUCAUUUAUUGCUUCUUUUUGGAAGGGAGAGGAGGAUCUUGGGUAAGCGUUUCGAUAACCUCGAUCUAGCACAGGAGCUUAAGUUUUUGCUCGAUCUUUGGUUUGCCCUUAAGUUUUUGUUUGAUAUUUGCUUCUUGUAUAUUUGUUUCUCAUUUUUUUCAAAACGGAGUCUUAAUCUCAAACACCUAGGAUAAUUAGUGCUUAUAAAUCUAACUACCUUUUCAUUCUACUGUUGUAAAUUUUAACCGAUCCAAUGUUACAGCUUUUGUUGAAAAUAAAGUCUUUCAUCCGUUACUUUUUCAUUUGCUUUGGUAUGACACAUAUGGGUGUUGAUUAUAUUUUAUUAUAGAAUUAAAAUUUUAUUUUUAUUUUCAUUUUCAUUUUCACAAUUCGAUACAAAGGCUUAUUUUAAUCUUCUUGCAAUCUGAGAGUACAUGAGGAACCAGGAAGAUGCAAUCAUGCAACAAAGGGCAUAGAUGUGUUUAAUGAAAAGCCACCUGCUGAACGCUUGGCUAUAUCAGAUAUAGGAAAAACUGUGACAUCAUCUCUUCCAGAUAAUAUUGCAAGUGGUUUUCCUCAAAGUGAUUUUAUUGCAUUUGAUUUUCCAAUCGGCCCACAAAUUCAUAUAGAAUCAGAAAGGGAUUUUUAUUUUUUAUUUUUUUUUAAAUUUCUAGAAAGAUGAAAGACCAAGAAAUAAAUCGGAAUUACCUAUGGAAGUGGCGCAAAAGGCUCAAAGCUUGUAGGUUUAUGCUCUAUGUAUAGGAUCAUUUAAAGUGGGUGAAGUGUACAUAAUGUGCAAAUAAAGUCAAAUAUUGUUGAAUUCCUUCAACCAUCUAGGGUUUUCUCUCUAUAGUUUAUUGGUUUAUUGUCUUCCUUAACUUCCUCUGUAAUCUUCCAGCUAACCUUAUCAAAGGCAUUAUCGUUUACCAGUUUCGUACAUGAUGGAAAUCUGUAUAGACUAUUUUUUCUUUAUUUAUGUUAUUCCGAAUAUAAACUGCAUCACACUUUAUGAUCAAAGAUAAUGACAUGAAGCUCUCUUAGGCACUUAAAUACUUUAUACUUUGGAAUUGAAAUAACAUAUUUUGAAACUUUCCGUUGAAAUUUUAUCUUUUGAUUUAUUCAAAUAGGUUGUUCAAUAUUAUAUGAAGUUAUUGUGAUUUUCCUUUUCUAAGCCACUGCUAAGAUGUGUUAUGAAUGAGAAAGAUAUUGUUCGAAGGCAAAUUUCAUUUUUGAUAGAUAGAAAUUUGGGCAUAUAGGCUAUUAUAAUAAAAGAAGGAAGGUAAAAUAAAACUUGCGAACUUAUGAAUUGCAAAAGUUUCAUGGAAAGUUCUUAAAGCUUUAGGAUGUUAAAGGAUUGUAGUAGAUCAAGACAUGGAAGUUUGGUUGAAUAGGUUAGGUUGUUUGAAAUGUGACUUGCUUAAUGUUUGGGACUUUCGAAGGACAUGAUUUAUAAUACCGAUGUAAGCUAAUUUCUUUGGCCCGAACACAUUUUCACUACUACUUUCAUAUCAUUGUAAAACACUUGUUAUGUUGCUAAUAAUGCCACAUCUUUCAGUUAUGUCAUGGCAUCACUGAACUAGGGGCAUUUUUUGAACAAUUGAAAAGAGAGCUUCAAGCGUUGGAAGCGGCAAAUGUGCAUGUAAUUUUGGAGAACAAGCAUUAGUUAGUGAGGUAACUUUGGAUUUUAAGCAUUAACAUCCAGGUGUUUACCGUGUUUUGUGUUCUUCUCAUUGCCAUCACUUGUGAUCCAAUAAGAUAUUUUUGUUAAUUGAUUGUAGGUGUAAAUCAUCUGACAUCAUAUAUUGCUAUUUAAUGAUAGCUUUUCGAUUUUACUUAAAAGUAUAACACCUGAGGCUUUUUUAUGAUGAUUGCAUUUGGUUUGAAUUUCUUUCCUUUCAAGUUGACAGCAACAUGGGCUCUGAAUAAUUUAUUUAGGGAUUGUGCAGGUAGUACAGGGCCUUCAGAUUGCUAUCAAUUGUGUCGAGGACAUGGAUGAAUUGUUAGGCAUUUUCAAUGUAAAUCUUCAACAUAUGAGAGAGGACAUAAAAUCGGUAUGCAUAUACUACACUGUUAUCUCAAUUGAAAAGGUAUAGCCCUUGUUUGAGCCACAUUAUUUUAGAAAAAUGCAUUUUUUGAAUAGUGUAUUGAUGAGAAAUGUGUACUUAAAAAAUAGGAAAAGUUUUGGAUUUAUAUGUAAUAUUAUUUUAUUGAAGAAUGUGUGGUUGAAAUGAUGUCAAAUCAUUAUUUAAGAAUGUAUUUUUUCCAAAUAAUGUGAAUCAAACAGGGCCAUAUUCUUGUGAUGUCUUGUGAUUUUGCUCAUAUACAUCAUGUUAGUUAUAAAACUAUAUGCUGCAUGGUGUGUUCGUCUAAUUCCAAUUUUAGAUACACUAUUCAAUCU
rnacentral:lncRNA from 1 species